GGCCCGUCAAAACAUAUAUGGCUCGAUACUGGACCAGAUAAUUUUGGUCUGUUACUUAGGUCUAACUUUAGACUAGGACUUACCUGGGCUUGAGCUUGACUGGUGGCCGUAUUCGAGCUCUGCCUGAUGUCUUGCAAAAAAGUUGGGUCGGAUUCGUGGAUAUCGAUUAAUUAUUUUAUACUUUCAGACUCCGAUCUACACUGUAGGGGAAAAUUCGGAUCCUAACCUUGAUCAUUUAUCGUUGCAACUGGCAGUUAGUGCCACAUCAAUGACAGAUUAAGUCCAUAUCGUUCAAGUCCAUAUCUGGCUAAGUCGAGUAGCGUCUAGAUAUCCUGCCAGUCCUGCUAGUGCGGCCAGCAUUGCAUUUGCGCAGUACGCGCACCGAUGUGUCCCGGAAGUUUCGGCGCGGCUAUGCCAGAAGAUCAAGGUAUUGGCUCUCGUGUUGGCUGGUGUAGCUUUGUAGGGGCAGCGAAAUUAAGCAGAAAAGAGGUAAUUCCAUAGACUAAUAAAUACGUAUAGACUGAAAGGUAGCACCCGCGGAAAAGCCUCAUUUAAAUAACAUUUGCAUAUAACGUACAGAUACUCCAUAGAAGCUCCAUGGUGAUAAGCGUAUUUUGUACCACUUUUGGCCACACCUCCUGGGAGACAUUUGAACCGAAUCCUAAGCCCCCAUUUGCAUAUUGCUAAUGAAUCAUUUAUUUUUUCUUUGCGUAUUCGCAAGAUACUGUGAUUUGAUUGGACAUUACCUCAUGAAUAAUGUAUUUUUCUAUUGAAAUUCGUACGUCAUAAUUUGACCCCUAUCGUCACUUCGGCUUAAUCAAGGGCUGAAAGGUGACGUCACCCGCACAGAAGAAGGUUAUUUCCUUGAAAGAUUUUCGGUGAGUACUGUCAGAUUAACGCUGAAUGUUAAUUCAUUUACAAAAAUAAAUCAAAAGAUCUGAUGUUAUAUGGGAUCUUUAGAUGUCUGGGUAUAACGUGAAUUAAUUUUUGUUUAUAAAAAGUGAAAAAUUAGGAAGCAAACGACUUGCGAAAACUCAAAACUAUUUCCAUCGUCGUGAGCUAAAAAUGGUGGCUAUAUUUUUCUAUAAAGCCUAUAUUACUUGAUGUAAAUCUCCAUCUGCUACCAUUUGAGACCUCGUAUAUUCAAUUCACGCCAGACUUUCGGGCGAGAGUUUCUCUGAAAUUUCGAUUCCUACCGAAGAUCUCAGCAGGCAUGAAAAGAACUAGAAUCUAGAUAACGUUUAGGCUAGACAUAUUGAGUUUAGAAAGACAUUCACUCCAUUAACCCGUCCCUUUGAAUUCACAUAUCAAGACAAUAGGACCGUAGCCUCUACUCUCUAGAGUAGAUCUAGUCAGAGUCUAGUCCUCGAUCAUUUUGUAAAAAAAGAUGUUUUUCCCAAACUUAUUUCUACUAAUAAUACGGUACUAGGGCCUACACUUGUUCUUAUGUUUCCUUUUAUUUUUUUAAACUUGAAAGUUGGGCCUACCGCCUUGAUCUAGAUCUAGACCAAGUCUAAGUUUGCUAGUAGGUCCAUGGUUAGACGUAGUCGUAGGGCCUACCCCGGGGUCUGAACGUCGCCACUUCGGACAGCCUCGGACUCGGCAACAUAGAUCUAGAGGGGAGUAGAGAUCUAGUCUAAGUUGGGCCUAAUUCAUCGGUAGAUCUGAUUACCGGUCUUGGUUAAAGCUAAAAGAAAACAUUUCUACCUCCCAGCCUAUCUAGCUUAGGUCUAACUUGUUAUAGACCUAGACUAGACUUGGAUCUAGGCCUACAACAAAGUCAAAGCGACCUGUAGAAUCUAUAUAGGCUUAGUAUUAUUUCAGUCAGGGUCUUAAGUUAAGGCCAAAGGGUUUAUUUAAUUUUGGAGGUUAGCUUUUGUUUGGCCUAACGUGCAGAUUUUCCAUCGGAGCACUUGUCAUCAGAGCAAAUGUCAUGAAACUAUUUUAAACUUAAGACACUAGGUCAAGACAGCUUUAGUCUAGAUCUAACACUUGUAUGAUUCAAUAACAUUGAAAGUUCGCAGAAUAGUAGGUUUAACAAAUAUGAAAUUUAGAUCUACUUUUGAUGUAGAUCUAGAUCUACUUACAUUUAGUUCCAGAUCUAUGUACGUCAGAGUCUAUGACUAGAUCUAGAUAAAUACGCUAUAGUCCAAGUGUUAUGUUUUUUUUUUUUACAAUAGCUUGUAUUGCUAACAUUUCUGUCUGUGUAUUGUUUUAAUCAACAGACAUAGAACAUGAUGCAGCUUCACAUCCUCUUUUAAAGACUCAAGAAUUACAAGACCAAAUUAAGCUGCAGGACCCUCCUGAUUCAAAAAGAUAUGGAACAUGACUCUGCUUCACAUCCUUUGUUUUAGAGACUCAAGAAAUACAAGACCAAAUUAAGGGUUUGUUUUUUUAGUUCCAAUAAUAAUUUUCUGGUGGAAGAAUUAGGGAAUAAUGCAUUGACAAUAUGCCAAACAUCCUAUAUCAAACUGAAUUACUGCAUGUAUUUACAAUAGAGUAUUGUAACCGCUUCCCCCUCACCACUGACCAAACAAAACCCACAAACAAUUUAAGAGGGAUAGGGUUAUUUUAGGGGUAAUUAUCCUUGCUGAUUGUAGCAGUAGUUUUUACAAAUAUGGAUGUAGUUAAUGAUGAUGUUUAUGAUAAUAAUACUUAGAAUAAUAAAUUCAUUACGAUGACAUAACAGUAAUGAUGAAUAAAUAUGAUAAUUCAGCACUAUAAUAUGCACAUGAAAUUGUGUAACAAUUUUGGCAAUGAAGAAUUUUUAACAAAAAUAAUGAUCAAUGAAUUCGGGGGGGGGCAUGUGACAUUGCAUCUGUGUUUGUGAGGACAGUAGUCUCUUUCACACCAUUUCAUCUUAAGCAGAUGGGAACGAGCUCUGAUCAAAAUUUGAUCUUUAAACUCAAGAGGAAAAUAAUUGUUACCUGAUUUAUGUAUUUGGAAUAAAAUGAAUUGAAAUAAUAA